rnacentral:misc_RNA from 1 species
AAUGUCGUAACAAGGUUUUCGUAGGUGAACCUGCGGAAGGAUCAUUUAGAAAGUCCGGCGCGAGAGCGCCCUACCUUCAAACCACUGUGAACAAACCGUUGCUUCGCGGCGUGCUCCAGGCCCCUAUCAGCGGGGGCCCGCGUUCAGCCGCAGAAGCCACACCAAAAUCCAUUUUCCGUUACAGUCUGUCUGAUACAAAUGAAUUAAACUUCGUUAAA